UAGGGAAUCUUCCGCAAUGGGCGAAAGCCUGACGGAGCAACGCCGCGUGAGUGAUGAAGGUCUUCGGAUCGUAAAACUCUGUUAUUAGGGAAGAACAAAUGUGUAAGUAACUAUGCACGUCUUGACGGUACCUAAUCAGAAAGCCACGGCUAACUACGUGCCAGCAGCCGCGGUAAUACGUAGGUGGCAAGCGUUAUCCGGAAUUAUUGGGCGUAAAGCGCGCGUAGGCGGUUUUUUAAGUCUGAUGUGAAAGCCCACGGCUCAACCGUGGAGGGUCAUUGGAAACUGGAAAACUUGAGUGCAGAAGAGGAAAGUUGAAUUCCAUGUGUAGCGGUGAAUUGCGCAUAGAUAUGUAGGAACACCAGUGGCGAAGGCGACUUUCUGGUCUGUAACUGACGCUGAUGUGCGAAAGCGUGGGGAUCAAACAGG
rnacentral:rRNA from 1 species